CUAGUUGGUGAGGUAAAGGCUUACCAAGGCGACGAUCAGUAGCUGGUCUGAGAGGACGACCAGCCACACUGGGACUGAGACACGGCCCAGACUCCUACGGGAGGCAGCAGUGGGGAAUUUUGGACAAUGGGGGAAACCCUGAUCCAGCCAUGCCGCGUGAGUGAAGAAGGCCUUCGGGUUGUAAAGCUCUUUCAGCCGGAACGAAACAGUCACGGAUAAUACCCGUGACUACUGACGGUACCGGAAGAAGAAGCACCGGCUAACUACGUGCCAGCAGCCGCGGUAAUACGUAGGGUGCGAGCGUUAAUCGGAAUUACUGGGCGUAAAGCGUGCGCAGGCGGUUUUGUAAGUCAGAUGUGAAAUCCCCGGGCUUAACCUGGGAACUGCGUUUGAAACUACAAGGCUAGAAGGG
rnacentral:rRNA from 1 species